rnacentral:rRNA from 1 species
GGUGAGUAAUACAUCGGAGCGUUGCCCAGCUAGUGGGGGAUAGCCCGGCGAAAGCCGGAUUAAUACCCGCUAUACGACUCUACGGGUGAAAGCGGGGGACCGCAAGGCCUCGCGCUAUUGGCAGCGGCCGUAUGUCAGCAUUAGGUAGUUAGUGGGGUAAAGGCUCUACCAAGCCUGACGAUCUGUAGCUGGUCUGAGAGGACGUACCAGCCACACUGGGACUGAGACAGGUCCAAACUCAUAGGGAGGCAGCAGUGGGGAAUUUUGGACAAUGGGCGCAAGCCUGAUCCAGCCAUGCCGCGUGCGGGAAGAAGGCCUUCGGGUUGUAAACCGCUUUUGUCAGGGAAGAAACGCGCUGAGCUAAUACCUCGGCGUAAUGACGGUACCUGAAGAAUAAGCACCGGCUAACUACGUGCCAGCCGCCGCGG